GAUGAACGCUGGCGGCGUGCCUAAUACAUGCAAGUCGAGCGAACAGACGAGGAGCUUGCUCCUCUGACGUUAGCGGCGGACGGGUGAGUAACACGUGGAUAACCUACCUAUAAGACUGGGAUAACUUCGGGAAACCGGAGCUAAUACCGGAUAAUAUAUUGAACCGCAUGGUUCAAUAGUGAAAGACGGUUUUGCUGUCCCUUAUAGAUGGAUCCGCGCCGCAUUAGCUAGUUGGUAAGGUAACGGCUUACCAAGGCAACGAAGCGUAGCCGACCUGAGAGGGUGAUCGGCCACACUGGAAUUGAGACACGGGCCAGACUCCUACGGGAGGCAGCAGUAGGGAAUCUUCCGCAAUGGGCGAAAGCCUGACGGAGGAACGCCGCGUGAGUGAUGAAGGUCUUCGGAUCGUAAGACUCUGUUAUUAGGGAAGAACAAAUGUGUAAGUAACUAUGCACGUCUUGACGGUACCUAAUCAGAAAGCCACGGCUAACUACGUG
rnacentral:rRNA from 1 species